UGAGCAAUCUGCCCUUCUCUUUGGAAUAAGCGUUGGAAACGACGUCUAAUGCCGAAUACGACCUCCUUUCGCAUGAUCGGAGGUGGAAAGCUCCGGCGGAGAAGGAUGAGCUCGCGGCCUAUCAGCUAGUUGGUGUGGGUAAUGGCCCACAAGGCGACGACGGGUAGCCGGCCUGAGGAGGGUGACCGGCCACACUGGGACUGAGACACGGCCCAGACCUCCGUACGGGGAGGNAGCG
rnacentral:rRNA from 1 species